UGCGUAGGCGGAAUAUUAAGUCAGUGGUGAAAUCCUGCGGCUCAACCGUAGAACUGCCAUUGAUACUGAUAUUCUUGAAUGUAGUUGAGGUAGGCGGAAUGUGUAAUGUAGCGGUGAAAUGCUUAGAUAUUACACAGAACACCGAUUGCGAAGGCAGCUUACUAAACUAUGAUUGACGCUGAGGCACGAAAGCGUGGGGAGCGAACAGGAUUAGAUGCCCUGGUAGUCC
rnacentral:rRNA from 1 species